GCAAGUCGAACGCGCACGGAACUGCGGUUCUUAUUAGAGUGGCGGACGGGUGAGUAACACGUGGGAACAUGCCUUUCGGUACGGAACAACCAUUGGAAACGAAGGCUAAUACCGUAUACGUCCUUAGGGGGAAAGAUUUAUCGCCGAAAGAUUGGCCCGCGCAAGAUUAGCUAGUUGGUAAGGUAAAAGCUUACCAAGGCGACGAUCUAUAGCUGGUUUGAGAGGAUGAUC
rnacentral:rRNA from 1 species